rnacentral:rRNA from 1 species
AAUUUUGGACAAUGGGGGAAACCCUGAUCCAGCCAUCCCGCGUGUAUGAUGAAGGCCUNCGGGUUNUNAAGUACUUUUGGCAGAGNAGAAAAGGUACUUCCUAAUACGAGGUACUGCUGACGGUAUCUGCCGAAAAGCCACCGGCCAACUACGUGCCAGCAGCGGCGGUAAUACGUAGGGUGCAAACGUUAAUCGGAAUUACUGGGCGUAAAGCGUGUGUAGGCGGGUCGGAAAAGAAGAUGUGAAAUCCCAGGGCUCAACCUUGGAACUGCAUUUUUAACUGCCGAGCUAGAGUAUGUCAGAGGGGGGUAGAAUUCCACGUGUAGCAGUGAAAUGCGUAGAUAUGUGGAGGAAUACCGAUGGCGAAGGCAGCCCCCUGGGAUAAUACUGACGCUCAGACACGAAAGCGUGGGGAGCAAACAG